AUUCGCCCUUGGGCGGUGUGUACAAGGCAUGCAAGUCGAACGUAAGCUCGGUAGCAAUAUCGAGAUUUAGUGGCAAACGGGUGCGUAACACAUUGGUAACCUACCACCAAGUCGGGGAUAGCUCGCCGAAAGGCGAAUUAAUACUCGAUGGCAAUGCGGGGACAUAAGCCAUUCGCAUUUAAAGUUUUAAUGCUUGGAGAUGGGCCUAUGGCCUAUCAGCUAGUUGGCGAGGUAACUGCUCACCAAGGCGACGACGGGUAGGGGGCGUGAGAGCGCGACCCCCCUCACUGGGACUGAGACACUGCCCAGACUCCUACGGGAGGCUGCAGUCGAGAAUAUUCCACAAUGGGCAAAAGCCUGAUGGAGCGACGCCGCGUGCAGGAUGAAGGUCUUCGGAUUGUAAACUGCUUUUAUAGGGGAAGAAUUUGUGACUGUACCCUAUGAAUAAGAGGUUGCUAACUCUGUGCCAGCAGCAGCGGUAAUACAGAGACCUCAAGCGUUAUCCGGAUUUACUGGGCGUAAAGCGUCCGCAGGUGGUUUGGUAAGUUAAUAGUCAAAUCUCAAAGCUCAACUUUGAGGCUGCUGUUAAUACUGUCAAACUAGAGGCCGGGAGAGGCAAGCGGAACUGCCGGUGUAGUCGUAAUAAGCGUUGAUAUCGGCGGGAACACCAAAGGCGAAGGCAGCUUGCUAGAACGGUCCUGACACUGAGGGACGAAAGCGUGGGUAGCGAAUAGGAUUAGAUACCCUAGUAGUCCACGCCCUAAACUAUGUGCACCAGGUAUUGGCAGUAUCGACCCUGCCAGUGCCGCUUAAAAAAGCUAACGCGUUAAGUGCACCGCCUGGGGAGUACGGCCGCAAGGCUAAAACUCAAAGGAAUAGACGGGGACCCGCACAAGCGGUGGAACAUGUGGUUUAAUUCGACGGCAAACGAGGAACCUUACCUGGGCUCAACUACUAGCUGCAUAUCACCAGAAAUGGAGAUAGCCUUCGAGGGUGCUAGAUAGGUGCUGCAUGGUUGCCGUCAGCUCGUGCCGUGAGGUGUACCGUUAAGUCGGGAAACGAGCGCAACCCACGUCGUGUGUUAAAUGUACACACGAGACCGCCCCGCUCUUUUAACAUUAUAUAUAGUGUUAAGGGAGCGGGGAGGAAGGGGUGGACGACGUCAAAUCAGCAUGGCUCUUACGUCCAGGGCCACACACAUGUUACAAUGGCCGGUACAAUGGGUUGCCAAACCGCGAGGUGGAGCUAAUCCCAUCAAAACCGGUCUCAGUUCAGAUUGAAGGCUGCAACUCGCCUUCAUGAAGUUGGAAUCGCUAGUAAACGCCUAUCAGCCACGGGGCGUUGAAUACGUUCUCGGGCCUUGUACACACCGCCCAAGGGC
rnacentral:rRNA from 1 species